CAACUCGACUGCAUGAAGUCGGAAUCGCUGUAAUCGCAGAUCAGCAAAGCUGCGGUGAAUACGUUCCCGGGCCUUGUACACACCGCCCGUCACACCACGGGAGUCGGUCGCGCCUGAAGCCGGUGGCCUAUCAGUAAUGGGGGAGCCGUCUAUGGCGAGAUUGGUAACUGGGGUGAAGUCGUAACAAGGUAGC
rnacentral:rRNA from 1 species